rnacentral:rRNA from 1 species
UACGUAGGGUGCAAGCGUUGUCCGGAAUUAUUGGGCGUAAAGAGCUCGUAGGCGGUCUGUCGCGUCGGCUGUGAAAUCCCGGAGCUCAACUCCGGGUCUGCAGUCGAUACGGGCAAACUGGAGUACUGCAGGGGAGACUGGAAUUCCUGGUGUAGCGGUGAAAUGCGCAGAUAUCAGGAGGAACACCGGUGGCGAAGGCGAUCACCUGGGGUUGUUCUGACGCUGAGGAGCGAAAGCUAGGGGAGCAAACGGG